UGGGGAAUCUUAGACAAUGGGGGAAACCCUGAUCUAGCCAUGCCGCGUGAGUGAUGAAGGCCUUCGGGUUGUAAAGCUCUUUCAGCUGGGAAGAUAAUGACGGUACCAGCAGAAGAAGCCCCGGCUAACUCCGUGCCAGCAGCCGCGGUAAUACGGAGGGGGCUAGCGUUGUUCGGAAUUACUGGGCGUAAAGCGCACGUAGGCGGACUGGAAAGUUGGAGGUGAAAUCCUGGGGCUCAACCCCAGAACUGCCUUCAAAACUAUCAGUCUGGAGUUCGAGAGAGGUGAGUGGAAUUCCGAGUGUAGAGGUGAAAUUCGUAGAUAUUCGGAGGAACACCAGUGGCGAAGGCGGCUCACUGGCUCGAUACUGACGCUGAGGUGCGAAAGCGUGGGGAGCAAACAGG
rnacentral:rRNA from 1 species